AUCAAAACAUUCAUUCCAAGUGACACUCCCAUCUGGGUGUGCGCUUUGUUUGGAGGUGCAAUUCCUUUGAAUUGCUCCUCGUAAUAGAUGGUAAGAUGUAGCUUGAAACUUCUGCUCUCUGGUGUAUGAACGCCUGCACAAAACAUCUUGCAGAUGAGAAUUUCUUCUGGGUUAUGCCAUGUGACCAGGAAUAUCAAUCAUAUAUCACUGCAGAAACUUGAAUUGUUGCUGGUGUUGACAUUAAGUACAGGAAGAAGGACGGGUGUAAGUCAACUUGUAGCCAAUGCGCAACAAAUUCCAAUUCGAAAUGAGUAUACAAUAGAGAAGGGUAAUAUCAUAUGUGAGAUAAUUUUUGACUGGUUCAGCACCUGACCCAGUUUCCUUCGGAUAUUUCCUACUUUGAUGGAUUACUCCAUCCCUUUCCAGAAACCAGAAAUGGAGGGGCACUUCAUGCUUGGAUCACUAAUAUUCUUUUUCUGUUUAAUCAAUCAUUUCUCUAUAGAAAAAUGAAGGACGAAAGAGAUUGUUUCUUCUCUUGUAGGAUUUUGAUAAGGUUUCAUAUGGGUGAGUCACUUUCUAGACUUCUGAUUUAAUAUGUGGGUUGUUGAAGUGAGACAUUUUAUUUUAUUUCUGUCCGAGUGUCACGGCAGCACCUCUUAAUUUCUUUAUCCAAUUGGCGGUGCAGUUGGGCAAAAGGAUAUUGAUUUGGACCGAGGAUUUGAAUUCAGCUAUAGAAUUGGGUUGAUAAAUUAUUC